AUGUGUUAUAGGGACAAGAGUGCAAUAUAUUUCAGUUCUAACACUACCGAUGCGGUGAGGAACUCGCUGAAGGCAGCUCUGAACAUCCAUGUUGAGGCCUUUAGCGAGAGGUAUUUGGGACUCCCUACGGUAGUGGGUCGUAUCACAAGUGGAACUUUUGAUUAUAUUGCUGAGAGAGCUAGAAGGAAAAUUCAGGGAUGGUCUGAAAGAUUGCUAGCAUGCGCCGGCAGAGAAACAUUGUUGAAAUUGGUGGUUCAGGCUAUUCCCAUCUACCCCAUGAGUAUGUUUUAGUUGACUAAAUUUUUUUGUAAGAGUGUUACCUCACCAAUGGAGAAAUGUUUUUGGAGUACCUAUCUUAACAAGAAAGGAAUGCAUUGGGCUUCCUGGAAGAACCUUGCAACGCCAAAAUGCAAGGGAGGAUUGGGAUUUCGAGAUAUGCAACAAUUCAAUCUUGCUCUGCUUGGGAAGCAUGGAUGGUGCCUAAUUACCAAGCCAGAUUCCUUGUGCACAAGAGUUUUGAAAGGACAGUAUUUUCCCGACUCUGAUUUGGAUCUAAUGAGUUUGAUGUGGAUGUUGAGGGCUUUAAGCGAGCACCAAUUUCCUCAUUGA
rnacentral:rRNA from 1 species